rnacentral:rRNA from 1 species
AAUGAACGCUGGCGGCGCGCCUAAUACAUGCAAGUCGAGCGAGAAGACGUAGCAAUACGUUUGUAAAGCGGCGAACGGGUGAGGAAUACAUGGGUAACCUACCCUCGAGUGGGAGUAACUAGCCGAAGGUUAGCUAAUACCGCGUACGCUCCUUGGACUUCGGUUUCAGGGAGGGAAAGCGAUACCGUGGGUAUCGCGCUCUUGGAUGGGCGUCAUGUCCUAUCAGCUUGUUGGGAGGUAACGGCUCACCAAGGCUUCGACGGGUAGCUGGUCUGAGAGGACAAUCAGCCACACUGGCACUGCGACACGGG